UGGAGUUUGUCCGAACUGGCUAUGGGAAGGAAAUGGUAAAAGUUCUCCAUAUUCAGUGAGAUGGAAAAUAUCACAGCAUUAAAGAGGUGGCAACUUCAGUGCAACUUACUCUAAGUUCCAAAAAAGAUUACCUGCAUGGAGAUAAUUCAGACAUCAUCCCUACAGACACCAUCAAGAACACAGUUCAUGUCUUGGCAAAGUUUAAAGAAAAUGGAGUUAAGCAUGUCCAUGCAUUUAUUCACACUCCCACUGGAACACACUUCUGUGAAGUUGAACAGCUGAGAAGUGGACCCCAAGUCAUUCAUUCUGGAAUCAAAGACCUCAAGGUCUUGAAAACAACACAGUCUGGAUUUGAAGGUUUCAUCAAGGACCAGUUCACUACCCUCCCUGAGGUGAAGGACUGAUGCUUUGCCACCCAAGUGUACUGCAAGUGGCGCUACCACCAGUGCAGGGAUGUGGACUUCAAGGCUACCUGGGACACCAUUCGGGACCUUGUCAUGGAGAAAUCUGCUGGGCCCUAUGACAAAGGUGAAUACUUGACCUCUGUGCAGAAGACCCUCUGUGAUAUCCAGGUGCUCUCCCUGAGCCGAGUUCCUGCGAUAGAAGAUAUGGAAAUCAGCCUGCCAAACAUUCACUACUUCAACAUAGACAUGUCCAAAAUGGGUCUGAUCAACAAGGA
ensembl:lncRNA novel transcript